GCAGCGGUGGUUCAGUGGUAGAAUUCUCAGCUUCCAUGUGGGAGACCUGGGUUUGAUUCCCAGCCAGUGCA
rfam:Loxodonta africana unplaced genomic scaffold scaffold_25, whole genome shotgun sequence.